rnacentral:tRNA from 1 species
UAUAUUUUAGUGUAUGACGCACUAAGAAUUUUGAUUUCUUAAGAUUUAGUUUGAUUCUAAAAGAUAUAG